CCAAAAUACCCUUCUCCCCACUUCUCCUCCUUCCUUAACCCCUCCCUCACCACUGCUUCACAAAACCAACCACCUUAUAUCUCUCUCUCUCUCUCGGACAUGGCCAAGUCCGCCCCCACGGCGUCCUUUCCGGCCAUCAAGCCCGAACACUACGCCCACAGUCCGGUUCACUACGCCGUCGUUUUGUCCGACCACACCACCCUCUCUCGCAUUAUAUCUUCCCUACCUCGACUCGCCGAUCCCGCUCAUGUCCGUACAGAGUCUGACUCCCUCUCUCAGGAGCAAGUCGCCGACAAGAUCUCUGCCGUUCUCGACCGUCGUGAUGUUCCUUUCAGAGAGACCCCUCUCCAUCUCGCUGUCCGCCUCAACGACUCCUUCGCCGCUCGCGCUUUGGCCACCGCUGGGGCUGACGUCUCCUUGCAGAAUUCGGCUGGAUGGAAUGCCUUGCAGGAGGCGCUAUGCCGCCGGAACUCUGACAUUUCUCUCAUCCUGCUACGCCUUCACCACCGCUCCGCUUGGGCCAAGUGGCGGCGGCGGCUGCCUCGUUUGAUUGCUGUGCUGCGCCGCAUGAGGGAUUUCUAUAUGGAGAUUUCUUUUCACUUCGAGAGCUCUGUGAUUCCGUUUGUAGGUAAGAUCGCUCCGUCUGAUACUUACAAAAUCUGGAAGCGUGAUGGUAAUUUACGCGCCGACACGUCGUUGGCGGGCUUCGAUGGUUUGAAGAUUCAGCGUGCUGAUCAGAGCUUCCUCUUCCUUGGUGAUGGUGAUCAAGCGCAUGAUGUUCCCUGCGGUUCUUUGCUGGUUAUUAACCGCGACGAUCGCAAAAUCUUCGAUGCCUUCGAGAAUGCAGGUGCUCCGAUGAGCGAUUCUGACGCCGCCGGCUUCUGUUCUCAGACCAGCGUUUACCGACCUGGCAUGGAUGUCACGAGGGCUGAAUUAGUUGGCAGAACAAAUUGGAGAAGACAAGAAAAGACGGAAAGCGUGGGCGAGUGGAAGGCCAAAGUGUACGAAGUCCACAAUGUAGUUUUCAGUUUCCGGUCACGAAAGGUGGCCAGCGGAGAUACUGACGUGGCUGGGAGCGAGCAGGUGCUUCCAUUAGAGCUAGAUGAAGACGAAGACGGUUUUCUUGUGGCGGAGAAUCCGAGUUUUGGUUUGUCAAUGCCUGACAGGAGAAGACACAGUAGCUUCGUUCGAGAGGAGAGGGAGUGGGUCCCCAUGGGGAGGAAAAGCGUGGACCUACCAUCUAUGGCGGCCCCACCGCCGCGAAGGUCUGCCGCAAACGUUACAGUGGCGACACCACAAACUAAGGAAAAGGAGUAUGUGAGAAGUUUACGGCCGUCAGUGUGGCUAACGGAUCAGUUUCCGUUGAAGACUGAGGAGCUCUUGCCGUUACUCGACAUUUUAGCCAACAAGGUCAAAGCGGUGAGAAGGAUGAGAGAGCUGCUCACCACCAAGUUUCCGCCAGGGACAUUUCCGGUGAAGCUGGCCAUCCCCGUGGUCCCUACAGUGAGAGUUGUAAUUACAUUCACCAAGUUCGUUGAGCUUCAACCUGUGGAGCAAUUUUACACUCCUUUCUCAAGUCCCAGACAUUUGCUCAAUGCUGGGAGAGAUGAACAUCAUAAACCAGAAACCUCCAGGAACUAUUCCUUCACAUCAUCAUCUUCAACUUCUUCCUCCUCCUCAUCUGUGGCAUCCACAUGGCUGAGACGAAAUAAUAGCCAGAGUAAACAGCAGCAAAGAAGCACUUCGGUGGCGUCGGACUCGGACCCCUUUGCCAUUCCUGCUGGAUAUACAUGGUCCAGCGCGGAUGACAAAUCACGGAAAAUGAAGAAAUCUAAAUCUGUGAGGAAGACCAAGUAGAGGUUGAAUCAUAACAAAAGGGAAUCUGACUUGGAAAAGAAGCGGUCAAGAGAGACGGAUGGUAUAUUUUUUUUGUGGUUCGUUCAGAAAGUAUCUCGUGUAGAAUUCAUAUUGUUCAUUUCUGGAUUUGGAGCUGCAGAAAGAGAAAGGAACCUACCUGAUGCAUGCAACUUUAUGGCACGCUUCAAUUGUUCACGCCUUGAUUAUGGCCAAGCACAUCCGACUCUUGUGUGGCGAUUUUUGUUUUCUGUUCCAAUUUGGUGAUUAAAAUUGUUGACAGAUGUGCUCCGGAUAGAUAAGUAUUCAUCUCUAAAGGCAUUGGGAAUUGUUUAGCUGUAAAAGUAGUACUUGAAUUAAAUUAAAAACAAGAGUAUCCUUCAAUUUCCAUGAUAAAUUUGCAUACUGAA